rnacentral:rRNA from 1 species
AUACGGAGGAUCCAAGCGUUAUCCGGAUUUAUUGGGUUUAAAGGGUGCGCAGGCGGAAGAUUAAGUCGGCGGUGAAAUUUUGCAGCUCAACUGUAAAAGUGCCUUCGAAACUGGUUUCCUUGAGUGUAGAUGAAGUCGGCGGAAUUUGUGGUGUAGCGGUGAAAUGCAUAGAUAUCACGAGGAACUCCGAUUGCGCAGGCAGCUUACUAAACUACUACUGACGCUCAGGCACGAAGGCGUGGGGAUCAAACAGGAUUAGAUACCCUGGUAGUCCACGUAGUAAACGAUGAUUACUAGCUGUUUGCGAUACAAUGUAAGCGGCUGAGCGAAAGCGCUAAGUAAUCCACCUGGGGAGUACGGUCGCAAGAAUGAAACUCAAAUGAAUUGACGGGG